UACGAAGGGGGCUAGCGUUGCUCGGAAUCACUGGGCGUAAAGCGCACGUAGGCGGAUUGUUAAGUCAGGGGUGAAAUCCCAGAGCUCAACUCUGGAACUGCCUUUGAUACUGGCGAUCUUGAGUCCGGAAGAGGUGAGUGGAACUCCGAGUGUAGAGGUGAAAUUCGUAGAUAUUCGGAAGAACACCUGUGGCGAAGGCGGCUCACUGGUCCGGUACUGACGCUGAGGUGCGAAAGCGUGGGGAGCAAACAGG
rnacentral:rRNA from 1 species